rnacentral:rRNA from 1 species
GACGAACGCUGGCGGCACGCUUAACACCUGCAAGUCGAGCGAGAACCAGGGCUUCGGCCCUGGGGACAGCGGCGAACGGGUGAGUAACACGUGGGUAAUCUGCCCUCGGCACCGGAAUAGCCCGGGGAAACCCGGAUUAAUGCCGGAUGGCCCCUUCACCUCGCGAGGUGUCGGGAAAAGGUAGCUUCGGCCUCUGGCCGAGGAUGAGCCCGCGGCGGAUUAGCUUGUUGGCGGGGUAACGGCCCACCAAGGCGACGAUCCGUAGCUGGUCUGAGAGGACGAUCAGCCACACUGGGACUGAGACACGGCCCAGACUCCUAUGGGAGGCAGCAGUGGGGAAUCUUGCGCAAUGGGCGAAAGCCUGACGCAGCGACGCCGCGUGAGGGAAGACGGCCUUCGGGUUGUAAACCUCUUUCAGGAGGGACGAAGCUACUCGGGUGAAUAGCCCAGAGGGUGACGGUACCUCCAGAAGAAGCCCCGGCUAACUACGUGCCAGCCGCCGCAGUAACAC